UCUCACUCUCUGACAAGGUUUUGCUAAGUUGCCAAGGCUCACGAUUCUCCUGCCUCAGCCUCUGAGUAGCUGGGAUUACAGGUGUGGUUCCUGCAUCUGGAUGUUUUUGUUGAGUGCUAUUAGUUAUUAUUAAAUUUCAGACACCAGUCCUCCCUCCCUCCCUCCCUCCCUCCCUCCCUUCCUUUCUUCCCUGCCUUCCUGCUUUCUUCCCUUCCUGUGAUUCCUUUUCUAUGUCGGCCUCACUGGCUUAGACAGUGGUCGGAGAGCUGAGAAAACAUCACUUCUGGAUGUUUCUGAAGCGAUGUUUCCGGGAGAAACCAACAUUUGACUGAGAAGACUGAGGAGAGAAGUUGGCCUGUACGAGGCAUCUGAUCCGCCCAGGACUGGAUUGGAACACAAAGGCGGCGGAAGGCAAAGCUGACCUCAGCCGAGCUGUGGCGCCUCUUCUCCCGCCACUGGCGCUGGGCUCCUGGUCCUUGGCCUCUGUGUGCGCUGGACCCAGCCUGCUGUGUGCGCUGGACACAGCCUGCUGCCUUUCCUGGGCUCUGCUUGCAGGUGUCAGGAGCAUGGUCAGUGAGAGCCAAUAAAACUGAAGCACUGUAACAGAGAAACCCCCUGAACCUGAACCGGAAGUUGCCCUUCCAGCGCCAUUUCCUUCCGGCCAGCCCC
rnacentral:lncRNA from 1 species